rnacentral:rRNA from 1 species
GCGCUCGUACCCGGGUGAGUGAAUCUUUUGUGAAAGUGUCGAGCUUAUCUUGAUAGCGCGCAAGAGAGAGUGCUCAUCUAGGGACCGGGAGGAGUUAGAAGUAUUCCGGGGAGAGCGGUAAAGUGUUAUACUCCUCGGAAGACUACCUGUGGCGAAAGCGUCUAACCAGAACGUAUCCGACGGUCAAGAACGAAAGCCAGGAGAGCAAAACGGAUUAUAUACCCGAGUACUCCUGUGUGUAAUCUCUGUGAGCAAGGUGGUGCAUAUUCUACGUGAGUGUGCAGCACCGAAACGAAGGUGUUAAUCUCACCGCCUGGGAAGCACGGUCGCAAGACUGAAACUUAAAGGAAGUGGCGGGAGAGCACUACAAGGGGUGCGGCGUGCGGUUUAAUCUAUUUCCACACAGAGAAUCUCACCAGGAGCGACGGCAGAAUGAAAGUCAUGCUGAAGACAUUACUUGACGAGCCGAGAGGUAGUGCAUGGCCGCCGUCAGCUCGUGCCGUAAGGUGUCCUGUUAAGUCAGGCAACGAGCAAGACCUGUAUCCACAAUUGCUAUCGGAUCCUCUAGGAUGACUGGGCACUUUGUGGGGACUGCCUCGGAAACGAGGAGGAAGGUGCAGGCAACGGUAGGUCUGUAUGCUCCGAAUCUCCUGGGCUACACGCGCGCAACAAUGGUAGGGACAAUGGGAUACGACUCCGAAAGGAGAGGGAAUUUAUCCUAGAACUCUUCAACUACUGAGUGAGGAUUGUAACUCAUCCUCAUGACGAUGGAAUCCCUAGUAAUGAGACGUCAUCAGCGUCCCGUGAAUAUGUCCCUGCUCCUU